rnacentral:rRNA from 1 species
AGCAGCCGCGGUAAUUCCAGCUCCAAUAGCGUAUAUUAAAGUUGCUGCAGUUAAAAAGCUCGUAGUUGGAUUUCUGACUUGGUGCGCUUGGCCCGCUGCGGUUACGUGGUGAGUGCCGGGUCGUGUCUGUCAUCCUUCUAGAACACGUUCCUACCCUUCACUGGGCCGGGGACGCUAUCUAGAUCUUUUACUUUGAAAAAAU